GUCGAGCGAACAGAUAAGGAGCUUGCUCCUUUGAAGUUAGCGGCGGACGGGUGAGUAACACGUGGGUAACCUACCUAUAAGACUGGGAUAACUUCGGGAAACCGGAGCUAAUACCGGAUAACAUUUAGAACCGCAUGGUUCUAAAGUGAAAGAUGGUUUUGCUAUCACUUAUAGAUGGACCCGCGCCGUAUUAGCUAGUUGGUAAGGUAACGGCUUACCAAGGCGACGAUACGUAGCCGACCUGAGAGGGUGAUCGGCCACACUGGAACUGAGACACGGUCCAGACUCCUACGGGAGGCAGCAGUAGGGAAUCUUCCGCAAUGGGCGAAAGCCUGACGGAGCAACGCCGCGUGAGUGAUGAAGGGUUUCGGCUCGUAAAACUCUGUUAUUAGGGAAGAACAAAUGUGUAAGUAACUGUGCACAUCUUGACGGUACCUAAUCAGAAAGCCACGGCUAACUACGUGCCAGCAGCCGCGGUAAUACGUAGGUGGCAAGCGUUAUCCGGAAUUAUUGGGCGUAAAGCGCGCGUAGGCGGUUUCUUAAGUCUGAUGUGAAAGCCCACGGCUCAACCGUGGAGGGUCAUUGGAAACUGGGAAACUUGAGUGCAGAAGAGGAAAGUGGAAUUCCAUGUGUAGCGGUGAAAUGCGCAGAGAUAUGGAGGAACACCAGUGGCGAAGGCGACUUUCUGGUCUGUAACUGACGCUGAUGUGCGAAAGCGUGGGGAUCAAACAGGAUUAGAUACCCUGGUAGUCCACGCCGUAAACGAUGAGUGCUAAGUGUUAGGGGGUUUCCGCCCCUUAGUGCUGCAGCUAACGCAUUAAGCACUCCGCCUGGGGAGUACGACCGCAAGGUUGAAACUCAAAGGAAUUGACGGGGACCCGCACAAGCGGUGGAGCAUGUGGUUUAAUUCGAAGCAACGCGAAGAACCUUACCAAAUCUUGACAUCCUUUGAAAACUCUAGAGAUAGAGCCUUCCCCUUCGGGGGACAAAGUGACAGGUGGUGCAUGGUUGUCGUCAGCUCGUGUCGUGAGAUGUUGGGUUAAGUCCCGCAACGAGCGCAACCCUUAAGCUUAGUUGCCAUCAUUAAGUUGGGCACCCUAGGUUGACUGCCGGUGACAAACCGGAAGAAAGGUGGGGAUGACGUCAAAU
rnacentral:rRNA from 1 species